UUACCUGAUUAAAGCAGCGAUUAUUUCGUCGCACCGAAAAUUGUCGAAAACAUCGAUGAUAUGAACACGCGGCCAAGAACAACACGUGUGAAACGCGUGGCAUCGAGCAUAUUAUUCUAAAUACAAGCCGUACGAUUACGCACCCCUGUCGCGCAGCCUGUGGUCUAAUCAGUUUGUGGUCGUGAGAAGACUGACAUCUCAGCAACUAACUUCGAUAUACUCAAACACCGAAAUGGCAGAUAUACAGAUGAAUGAAGCCGACCACAUCGCCG